rnacentral:rRNA from 1 species
GGACGGUACAACGAGUCGCAAACUCGCGAGAGUAAGCUAAUCUCUUAAAGCCGUUCUCAGUUCGGACUGUAGGCUGCAACUCGCCUACACGAGGUCGGAAUCGCUAGUAAUCGCGGAUCAGCAUGCCGCGGUGAAUACGUUCCCGGGCCUUGUACACACCGCCCGUCACACCAUGGGAGUUCGUAACGCCCAAAGUCGGUGGCCUAACCUUUAUGGAGGGAGCCGCCUAAGGCGGGACAGAUGACUGGGGUGAAGUCGUAACAAGGUACC